GAUGAACGCUGGCGGCGUGCUUAACACAUGCAAGUCGAGCGAGGGAGCACCUUCGGGUGUGAACUAGCGGCGGACGGGUGAGUAACACGUGGGCAACCUGCCUUACAGAGGGGGAUAGCCUUCCGAAAAGGAAGAUUAAUACCGCAUAUUAUGAUUUUUUCUGCGUGGGAAAGUCAUGAAAGGAGCAAUCCGCUGUAAGAUGGGCCCGCGGCGCAUUAGCUAGUUGGUGAGGUAAGGGCUCACCAAGGCGACGAUGCGUAGCCGACCUGAGAGGGUGAUCGGCCACAUUGGGACUGAGACACGGCCCAG
rnacentral:rRNA from 1 species